UGGGCUUUCAAGAGUCGCCUAUGC
rnacentral:siRNA from 1 species